GCCUCGGUAGCUCAGUUGGUAGAGCAAAGGACUGAAAAUCCUUGUGUCGGUGGUUCGAUUCCACUCUGAGGCACCA
rnacentral:tRNA from 1 species